AUUAGAGUGGUGUAGUGGAAGUGCAAUGGCCCCAUAACCCAUUGGCCUAGGUUUGAAUCUUGGCUCUAAUA
rfam:Picea glauca, whole genome shotgun sequence.